rnacentral:rRNA from 1 species
AACGCUAGCUACAGGCUUAACACAUGCAAGUCGAGGGGCAGCAUGGUCUUAGCUUGCUAAGGCCGAUGGCGACCGGCGCACGGGUGAGUAACACGUAUCCAACCUGCCGUCUACUCUUGGACAGCCUUCUGAAAGGAAGAUUAACACAAGAUGGCAUCAUGAGUUCACAUGUUCACAUGAUUAAAGGUAUUCCGGUAGACGAUGGGGAUGCGUUCCAUUAGAUAGUAGGCGGGGUAACGGCCCACCUAGUCUUCGAUGGAUAGGGGUUCUGAGAGGAAGGUCCCCCACAUUGGAACUGAGACACGGUCCAAACUCCUACGGGAGGCAGCAGUGAGGAAUAUUGGUCAAUGGGCGAGAGCCUGAACCAGCCAAGUAGCGUGAAGGAUGACUGCCCUAUGGGUUGUAAACUUCUUUUAUAAAGGAAUAAAGUCGGGUAUGCAUACCCGUUUGCAUGUACUUUAUGAAUAAGGAUCGGCUAACUCCGUGCCAGCAGCCGCGGUAAUACGGAGAAUCCGAGCGUUAUCCGGAUUUAUUGGGUUUAAAGGGAGCGUAGAUGGAUGUUUAAGUCAGUUGUGAAAGUUUGCGGCUCAACCGUAAAAUUGCAGUUGAUACUGGAUAUCUUGAGUGCAGUUGAGGCAGGCGGAAUUCGUGGUGUAGCGGUGAAAUGCUUAGAUAUCACGAAGAACUCCGAUUG